GUCUGCCGGUCCAAAUGUGUGUGUGUUUGCAUGUGUGUUUUGAACAACAAUGUGCCUCAAUGAGAGUCUCCAUGAUUUCCCAAUGAAACUGUCUGAAUCUCUCUUCUCUUAUUUGAUAUCUCCUCGCUUGAACCGGAAGUCGCUCUGGCCCUCCUUCGUGAAGGCCGUCUCAAAACUCUUAUUCCUGCCCCGAUGAGGGAAGGUCGAGGAGGGAUCUCUG